CGCGGAGUAGAGCAGCGGUAGCUCGUCGGGCUCAUAACCCGGAGGUCGUAGGUUCGAAUCCUGCCUCCGCAACCA
rnacentral:tRNA from 1 species